CCUACGGGUGGCAGCAGUGGGGAAUAUUGCACAAUGGGGGAAACCCUGAUGCAGCGACGCCGCGUGAGUGAAGAAGGAAUUCUUUAUGGAAAGCUCUAUCAGCAGGGAAGAAAAUGACGGUACCUGAGUAAGAAGCCCCGUCUAACUACGUGCCAGCCGCCGAGGUAAUACGUAGGGGGCAAGCGUGAUCCGGAUUUACUGGGUGUAAGGGGGGCGUAGACGGCCGUGGAAGUCUGGCUUGAAAGGCGGGGGCUCAACCCUCGGAUUGCUCUGGAAACUGUACGGCUGGAGUGUAGGAGAGGUAAGUGGAAUUCCUGGUGUAGCGGUGAAAUGCGUAGAUAUCAGGAGGAACACCAGUGGCGAAGGCGGCUUACUGGACUGUAACUGACGUUGAGGCUCGAAAGCGUGGGGAGCAAACAGGAUUAGAUACCCUAGUAGUC
rnacentral:rRNA from 1 species